GGCAAGAGGCAGAACACAUACCUUUUUGCUGCCUUUCUGCUGAACAAAGGCUGGGGUACCUGCAGUAUCUGCUUACAGGCAGCAUCUGGCAUUUCUUUGAGGAAAGUCCCUCACUCUCAGCCACCAUAUUUAUAUUCGGUAUAUGUGAAACAGCUCGGGUUAAAAAGGCUUUCAAAUGACUGCACCACAUGAGACCUGCAGCUCGCAAAUUAAUUGUUUGAAAAGGUAGAGAACUAAAGCCACACUGGUCUUACAAGCAUCUGCUUCUCUUCCUCCACCUGCUUCCUCUAGUAAUUGGGACACAUUGCAGAAAUUUCAUCCUGUCUGUGACAAGCAUGGCUAAAUAAGAAGCCAGCAGGGAAAUGGCAGUGUCAUCCAUUCCAACCACAUAUAUACACAUACUUGUAUAUGGAGACAAAUACAUAUACACACACAAACACACAUGCUCACACUCUUCCCUCCUUCCUAGGCCAUCACCAUAAUGGCAGAUAUUAAGACUCCUUUCAAAAUACAAAUAGUUUAGCACAUUUAUAAUUGACUGGAUAUUGGAGAUUUCAUUUAUGCUGCCUUUCUUUAUC